GUGGGGAAUAUUGGACAAUGGGCGCAAGCCUGAUCCAGCCAUGCCGCGUGAGUGAUGAAGGCCUUAGGGUUGUAAAGCUCUUUCAGUGGGGACGAUAAUGACGGUACCCACAGAAGAAGCCCCGGCUAACUUCGUGCCAGCAGCCGCGGUAAUACGAAGGGGGCUAGCGUUGUGCGGAUUUACUGGGCGUAAAGCGCACGUAGGCGGAUCGUUAAGUCGGGGGUGAAAUCCUGGAGCUGAACUGCAGAACUGCCUUCGAUACUGGCGAUCUUGAGUCCGGAAGAGGUGAGUGGAACUCCUAGAGUAGAGGUGGAAUUCGUAGAUAUUAGGAAGAACGCCAGUGGCGAAGGCGGCUCACUGGGCCGGUACUGACGCUGAGGUGCGAAAGCGUGGGGAGCAAACAGGAUUAGAAACCCUGGUAGUCC
rnacentral:rRNA from 1 species